GACACCAUUCAUGUAAUACAUCGAACAUCAAUAGUAGAGAAAUAAAGGAUUUUAUACACAACCUAACCGUUUUUGUAUUAUUGUUAGAACACUUUGUUUUCUUUUUGCAAUUAAAACCUGAACCCCACUUCAUUUUGUAUUUUAUACGCAUUGCACAAUAUUGUCUUGUUAAAUAGCAGUCCACACGGAUUUGAUUUUUU
rnacentral:lncRNA from 1 species